GGGCGUGUGGCUCAGUUGGUAGAGCGUUCGCUUAGCAUAUUUCACAGUUUCCAUGGUCGCUUAAAGAUCAAAGAACUUGAGUUCUCGAAUUAUGCGAAAGGUCCUGGGUUCGAUUCCCAGCUCGUCCA